AUGAACGCUGGCGGCGUGCCUAAUCCCUGCAAGUCGCGCGAACAGACGAGGAGCUUGCUCCUCUGACGUUAGCGGCGGACGGGUGAGUAACACGUGGAUAACCUACCUAUAAGACUGGGAUAACUUCGGGAAACCGGAGCUAAUACCGGAUAAUAUAUUGAACCGCAUGGUUCCAUAGUGAAAGACGGUUUUGCUGUCACUUAUAGAUGGAUCCGCGCCGCAUUAGCUAGUUGGUAAGGUAACGGCUUACCAAGGCAACGAUGCGUAGCCGACCUGAGAGGGUGAUCGGCCACACUGGAACUGAGACACGGUCCAGACUCCUACGUGAGGCAGCAGUAGGGAAUCUACCGCAAGGGGCGAAAGCCUGACGGAGCAACGCCGCGUGAGUGAUGAAGGGCUUCGGAUCGUAAAACUCUGUUAUUAGGGAAGAACAAAUGUGUAAGUAACGAUGCACGUCUGGACGGUACCUAAUCAGAAAGCCACGGCUAACUACGU
rnacentral:rRNA from 1 species